rnacentral:misc_RNA from 1 species
ACACUAUUUCGAUAUUUCCACCUUUUUUAUGUCAACUUAGGGUGCUUUGUUUGUUUGGAUGCUUGGGCAGUGUUCAGGGCCUGGCUAGGGUGCAUGCAAAAACAACCCCGGAACCUGGCUCGGCGCGUCCGCCUGAAUCGAGUGUUUCUCGUGGGCCUGGCCAGGCGGGUGCAGCGCGCGCUCGCGCAAGAGAGAGCAAAUGGAUCAUCCAGCCAACCAAACAGUUGUUCCACUCAGAUAGACUCCAAUGAACCAUGUAACCAAACAAGGCCAUGUUGCAUGGACGAGCCUAGCCGAACAUUGCCUGGUUGGGG